ACCAGAAUGGCCGAGUGGUUAAGGCGUUGGACUUAAGAUCCGAUGGAUAUAUAUCCACGUGGGUUCGAACCCCACUUCUGCUGUG